AUGCUUACUUUGGUAGCACAUAUACUAAAAUUAAAAUGAUACAGAGAUUAGCAUGGUCCCUACACAAGGAUGACAUGCAAAUUCAUGAAGCAUUCCAUAUUUUU